GUUACAAUGAUUUGGUUGCAUCGAAAAGGUAUAAUCACUCUAUUGAUAUUUGAUGUCCCAGAGUAGAGAUGGAAUUGAGCCCAACAACUAUUAGGAGAGGGUCUCAAUGAUGGCUUUGCAUCCGCUGGUGAACUAUAGGUCUAAUUUAACUAAGAAAUGUGCCAAUAACUGUUAGGUAAGGCCACAGGACUUAGAGACCAAACC
rnacentral:lncRNA from 1 species